rnacentral:sRNA from 1 species
AAAUAAGUUUGGUAUUAAAGAAGAUAUAAUCGUAACAAGAUUCAAAACUUAAGUAAUGACAUCGCUACAAAGAUCAGCUGUUUCGUUCCGACGUCAAGGUUCUUCGGGUCGUAUUUGGAGUGAUCAAUUCAUCUUAGAUCAAAAAAAUGGAGCAAUUCUU